UACGGGGGGAGCAAGCGUUGUUCGGAUUUACUGGGCGUAAAGGGCGCGUAGGCGGCGUGACAAGUCACUUGUGAAAUCUCUGAGCUUAACUCAGAACGGCCAAGUGAUACUGCUGUGCUAGAGUGCAGAAGGGGCAAUCGGAAUUCUUGGUGUAGCGGUGAAAUGCGUAGAUAUCAAGAGGAACACCUGAGGUGAAGACGGGUUGCUGGGCUGACACGUGACGCUGAGGCGCGAAAGCCAGGGGAGCAAACGGG
rnacentral:rRNA from 1 species